rnacentral:rRNA from 1 species
AUCUCCUACGGGGCGCAGCAGUGGGGGAUAUUGCACAAUGGAGGGAACUCUGAUGCAGCGACGCCGCGUGAGGGAAGAAGGUUUUCGGAUUGUAAACCUCUGUCUUCGGUGACGAAACGAGACGGUAGCCGAGGAGGAAGCCACGGCUAACUACGUGCCGGCAGCCGCGGUAAUACGUAGGUGGCAAGCGUUGUCCGGAAUUACUGGGUGUAAAGGGAGCGUAGGCGGGAAAGCAAGUUGAAUGUUUAAGGUACGGGCUCAACCUGUACACGCCUUCAACACUGUUUUUCUUGGUUGGAGUAGGG